rnacentral:lncRNA from 13 species
UACAUGUUGUAGGUGUCGGCUCUCUGAAAAGGGAACGCUGGUUUGACACAGAUUACAAAGCCGUUUAUUUAAAUAAGGCGUUAAAAAUCAUGUCUGAAAAUGGAUUGAUUUCGAUUGAUGUUAUUUUCUUCGUUACUUGACACAACCUAGAAAGUAAAACCUGAGGGGAAAACAUGUCCUAAAAGAAUCAAAAAGUCUGUAUUGUGCCGUAAUCAACAGGUAUCACUCGGAUAUUCAGAACGUCCAGCGAAACAGAAGAGAAACAACCAAGACGUUGUAAUCACAAGAGUUUAUUUUCUGCUCGUUUGCCUUACACUAGUAACGCUUCAUAACUUCAGACUCCACACCGGCUGCUGAGGGGACUAAUGUUGUAGUUUUACCCAGACAAAACAGUUCGUUAUUUUACAGUUAUAUAAUUUUUGUUUCUGGCAUCAACACACACAAUAGUUUCUGCCAUAUCAUGAGGCUCUGGGGUGAAAGUUUCCCCUAGGUACAGACCUGGGAUCAGCUUCCCCCCAGGUACAGACCUAGGAUCAGCUUCCCCUAGGUACAGACCUAGGAUCAGCUUCCCCUAGGUACAGACCUAGGAUCAGCUUCCCCUAGGUACAGACCUAGGAUCAGCUUCCCCUCCCCCAAGCUUUACACAAAACAUUAAUGGGGAGAAACGCUAGACUGACUCAAGAUCAGCCUUUAGGGGAAACUUGACUCUACUCUAAUCAUGAAACCCAAGUUUUCACUCGUUUUGACAAUAAAUAGUACUGCAGUUCUGACAUACUGGUAGUCUGGGUGGAUUAUAAUGUAGCCUGGGUGGAUUAUAAUGUAGCCUGGGGGGGGGAUUAUAAUGUAGCCUGGGUGAAUUAUAAUGUAGCCUGGGUGGAAUAUAAUGUAGCCUGGGUGAAUUAUAAUGUAGUCUGGGUGGAUUAUAAUGUAGUCUGGGUGGAUUAUAAUGUAGCCUGGGUGAAUUAUAAUGUAGUCUGGGUGGAUUAUAAUGUAGCCUGGGUGAAUUAUAAUGUAGUCUGGGGGGAUUAUAAUGUAGCCUGGGUGGAUUAUAAUGUAGCCUGGGUGGAUUAUAAUGUAGCCUGGGGGGAUUAUAAUGUAGCCUGGGGGGGGAUUAUAAUGUAGCCUGGGUGGAUUAUAAUGUAGCCUGGGUGGAUUAUAAUGUAGCCUGGGUGGAUUAUAAUGUAG